rnacentral:rRNA from 1 species
AUGAGCAACCAUCUCUCUCUCUCUCUCUCUCUCUCUCUCUCUCUCUCUCUCUCUCUCCAGCAGUGGAUCCCUAGCUCCAUGCCUGCAAUACUUUCUCUAACGGUGGGAUCCAUAGGUCUUUGGCGUGACGGCGGCGUAGCAGCGGCAGCUUCGGCGCACAAGGAGAUUGGGCGCAGCAGCACGACGUUUCUCCACCACGGCCUCCCCUCUGCCAAACACGCCUCUCCGAAGCUUCGGGCCCCACCUCCGGAUCCGCUGGUGACGGCGAAGGCAAAGACGAGGAGCGCAAUGAGCAUCACGCCGCCAUGGCGAAGAGAGGUACUAGAAAGCAAGGAGCUUCGUCAUGAAAGGAAUGAAUGGCUGCUUGUCGAAUAUAAUAUAAUCCAGGAUGAUUGUCAUGCAUCCUCAGAAGCCCGCUCAAUGUCAGCUUGCAUGUGUACAUGGGGUAAAUUAAGUUUUUAUCUGACAAAGAUAUCCCAGGGUGCUUUAUUCCUGAUAAAGGCUCCCCUGAUCACAAUAGCUGCAAAUGCUGGCGUUGAUGGUGCUAUAUUUAUUGUGAAGCUAUUGGAACAAGGUAAUGUUAGUUUGGGCCAUAAUUCCCAGUAG